rnacentral:piRNA from 1 species
UGCAGUACAUUGCAUGCACGCAUGGAC